rnacentral:rRNA from 1 species
ACGAACGCUGGCGGCGUGCCUAAUACCUGCAAGUAGAACGCUGAAGAGAGGAGCUUGCUCUUCUUGGAUGAGUUGCGAACGGGUGAGUAACGCGUAGGUAACCUGCCUUGUAGCGGGGGAUAACUAUUGGAAACGAUAGCUAAUACCGCAUAACAAUGGAUGACACAUGUCAUUUAUUUGAAAGGGGCAAUUGCUCCACUACAAGAUGGACCUGCGUUGUAUUAGCUAGUAGGUGAGGUAAUGGCUCACCUAGGCGACGAUACAUAGCCGACCUGAGAGGGUGAUCGGCCACACUGGGACUGAGACACGGCCCAGACUCCUACGGGAGGCAGCAGUAGGGAAUCUUCGGCAAUGGGGGCAACCCUGACCGAGCAACGCCGCGUGAGUGAAGAAGGGUUUCGGAUCGUAAAGCUCUGUUGUAAGUCAAGAACGGGUGUGAGAGUGGAAAGUUCACACUGUGACGGUAGCUUACCAGAAAGGGACGGCUAACUACGUG